rnacentral:lncRNA from 1 species
CAGGAAUUAACUUUGGUGGCCUCUCAUUCAAAGCAUCACAUCAUUUAGAUUUUACACAAUAGUAAACCAUAUCCUUUUAUAGAUCCAUAUGCAUGAGCGCGCACACACGUGCGCACACACACACACACACGCACACACACACCAUACACAAUCCCUUCCAUUCACUAUAACCACAAAAUUGUUACCCCCAAAGUCUUCCCACAUUUCUGGGCCUUUGUCCAAGUCUUUUCCAUGUCUCCUGGUUCUCAAAUCCACCUACCCAAACCCUAAAUUACCCUGUCCUCUGGGCUGUCAGAAUACUUUAUAAUAGGACUCUCCACUGUCUGCAUGGCACUCAGGAUAAUUGUGUACACUCCUGCCGUCCCCACCCCCAAUGCCCAUGCGCAUAGGAGGCUGAGUUCUCUGAGGGCAAACUGGCUCUAUGAUAGCCCAGCAACAGGGGGAUCGGGCACCCUCAGAGAAUCCAAUUUAAGAUGUUUCUAGUUCAAAAUGAUGCCAGGCUAGCAGUUCCCACUGUUGGGAAAACAUAACGGCAGCAGCACCCCAGAAAAAAAAAAAGAAAAAACCCCAACAUGGCAUCUAACAACCCUCUUUCCCCUCUUUGUUUCUUUCACUGGCACGAAAGGUUUCCCGCCCACGCCAACAUUCAAACCCUGCUGGUGGGAAGCCUUAGCCCCAAUUAGAAUUAACUUCUUGGGCUCCGGAACUGACAUAUGGAAGAGCUUGCCAAUAAACGGGCGACCUGUUCUCUACCUCAGCCCUGCGACCUCUCCUUAGACCUAUAUAAACACACAGCCUUUUGUAAUAAAGUGGAAAACCUCUUUGGUGAUCUGUGUCGUGUGGUGCGGCGUCUUCCAGUCUUACACCCACCACAAUUCCUCUAAAUUUCCUUAUGAAGGCUCUGGUAAGGUGGAAAAUUCACAUCUUCAAAAACAAAGGAAAAUUGUCAUGGGAACUAGGACUUGGGCACGCGAAAUACCCUCUAACUGUGUUCCCAGAACAUGGUGGCCUGAGACUUGACCAACACAGCUACCUGAGCACAGGCUUGGAAAGGGGCACCCUUCCCCUCCUUAAUCCAACAAUUCCCCUUCUAGGAAUUUGUCAUAAGAUAUUGGUAAAUAUGCCGGUAAAGACUUGACCAUAAAAGGAAAAACAGAAACAUAUUACAUGCCCACACAAAGGACAGACAGAAAACUUGUGGUAUAUUUAUGUAAGGAUGUACCACACAUCCAAUAAAACAUUAUAUACUAAAGGUAUAUUUACUGAUAGGGAAACAUGGGUGUGAUUUAUUAUUGAGGGAAAAUUUUAGUUACAAAACAGAAUAUAUUAUCCUUUUUUUUUUUUUUUGUGGGGCUGGUGAUUGAAC